UACGUAGGGUGCAAGCGUUAAUCGGAAUUACUGGGCGUAAAGCGCACGUAGGCGGAUUUGUAAGUCAGGGGUGAAAUCCCGGGGCUCAACCUCGGAACUGCCUUUGAUACUGCAAAUCUCGAGACCGGGAGAGGUGAGUGGAAUUCCCAGUGUAGCGGUGAAAUGCGUAGAUAUUGGGAGGAACACCAGUGGCGAAGGCGGCUCACUGGACCGGUACUGACGCUGAUGCGCGAAAGCGUGGGGAGCAAACAGG
rnacentral:rRNA from 1 species